rnacentral:rRNA from 1 species
AGCUUUAGGAAAAGAUCUAAGGUUAAACCUGCCCAAUGUAUACUUAUAAAUGGCCGCGGUACUCUGACCGUGCUAAGGUAGCGCAAUCAAUUGGCUCUUAAUUGGGGUCAGGUAUGAAUGGAAUUACGUGGUUCAGCUGUCUCUAUUAUAUUAAUUUGAAAUUACUAUAUAAGUGAAAAAGCUUAUGACUAGAAAAAGGACGAGAAGACCCUUAGAGUUUACCUUAAUAUGGAGUUUACUAUUCAUAAUAGUUUGGUUGGGGCAACAUAGGAGCAAAAAUAAGUUAUUAAAUCUCCUAAAUAUAAUUAACCGAUAAUUUUAAAAGUGAAUAAACUACCUUAGGGAUAACAGCAUAAUGUAAUAAAUAAGUUUGUGACCUCGAUGUUGGACUAGGAAACUUAAAGGCUAGCCGUCUUUAUAGGAAAGUUCUGUUCGAACUAGUAUUCCU